GCCAAGUGUAGUGGCACACACCUGUAAUCCCAGUUACUUUCUGGGGAGGCUGAGGCAGGAGGAUUGCCAUUUUGAGACCAGUCUGGGAAACUUAGCAAGACCCAGUCUCUA
rnacentral:sRNA from 1 species